CCCGAUUUUAGAAAGAGCCGAAAAUUGUAGCCCGAUGGCCGCCGAGCGCCCACCCUCUCGAUCUGGCACAGCGCAGCGGCGCCGUACCGCAUCAUUGCACACACAUACACCGUAGCCCUAGCACUCUAGCAGCAGCCAAGUCGCCAGCCCGGCACGGAAUGUUCCGGCUCAGCCCUCCGUCCCGUUGCGCGAGCCGCGGCCGGCCGCCUAUAUAGCCGCCCCGGCCGGCGCCCUCAUCCCUUGCCUAGCUUGCUCUCCCCGCGGCGCCCAUCCCUCGCCAAGCCCAUCGUCACCUCGGUCGGCUAGCUGAUGGCCGGCGGAACCUGCUAGCUCGCGAGCUGCGUGCGGUGAUCGCGGCGGCGGCGCGGGUGCUGCAGGCCACGCACAGUCGCACACGCGGCCGGCUACCGAUCGGCGGGCGGCGCGGGCGGUGACAGAAGAGAGUGAGCACACGGCCGGGCAGAACGGCACCGGCGGAGGUGCCGUCGCGGCCGCGUGCUCACUGCUCUAUCUGUCAUCCUCCACUCCCCCUCCCUCUCUCUCCUCCGGCCGCCUCGCCGAUCGGAGCCGCCGUGCGCCUCUCCCCGCAGUGGAUACACGCGCGGCCGCCGCCGUGAUCACCGCGCCGGCGCGGCUGCAGGCACGCUGCUCGCCCGUUGCCCCGGUGAUCUUUCAUCUCCUUUUGUUCUUGGUGUCAUCUGUCAUUGUAUGCCGCCAGAAUUGCCACUACGCCGGCCAUCGGAAAUUUCUAUUUCUGGGCGGUUCGUACGUACGGCCUCGCGGUUGGAUCUGAGCUUUUUGGGCGCGCGCGUGUACCUUCUUGCACGGAUUCCCUCCCUUCGCCUCGUACGAACAAGCCGCCUUUGCUGCGCUAGCUGCUUGUUCAUCUUUCCUAAGGGGACAACCGUAACCCUGCCACCGUCAGCUUCUUCUCGGGAAGGUAAAUUCUUUCACACUGCACUGCUGUAUGUCCAUCGGUGUCGAGCUCGUCUGGUUCUUCAAUCAAUAAUGUUCAUCGAUCGAUAGGAAGGUAAGAGAAGGAAAUGAAUUGAAAGAGACCAGCUGCGUCGAUUAUGUGGAUUUUGCUAGUAGAAAAUAAAUUGUAUGCGGGUGUUGACCAGAUCUGUUUCUUGCUCUCUCCUUAAUUUUGAGAUGAAUGUUAGUUUCUUCCCCCUUUAAUUUUACCAGAACGCCAUCUCCAUGGAUCUCCAGAACUCGAUCCAGAUUUCUUCGUGGCAGAAAGAAGCCCAAUGAGAAGAAGGCCAAAGCUACACGGAAGCACACCAGUCGUCUCUCCGUCUCAGAUCUGCUUAUCGCAUUCUCCUUUGUCAGAAACUUUGUGUGUACAUGUUUGAAUGCAAACAUGGCACUUUGAAACAUGGUGCAUGUGUGGAGCUUAUUGGGGAGCCAAACCUUGGCAACUGGUUCAUCAGCAGGCAAGGGAGUGAUGUAGCAGCGUGUGUAAAUGUGGCUUGCUGUGGGGUGCAAUGGCAGUGACCAUAUAAUUACACAUCUUGCAGGCACAGAGCCGGUGUAAUGUCGAUUGACACCAGCAUCACUAUAAUAUGUAACAAACAUAAACGUUACUGAGUUACACUACAUUGUUGAAACAUACUUCGUUUAGUUGCAUUCAACUUAUCGAGAUUUAA